rnacentral:rRNA from 1 species
GAUGAACGCUGACAGAAUGCUUAACACAUGCAAGUCGAUGGGGAAGUGGUGCUUGCACCCUGGUAACCAUGGCGGACGGGUGAGUAACGCGUAAGGAACUUGCCUGCGGGACUGGGAUAACAGCAGGAAACUGCUGAUAAUACCGGAUAAGGUCAUUAAGCUGCAUAGCUUAGUGAUGAAAGGAGACGCCUGCGGAGAGCCUUGCGUCCUAUUAGCUAGUUGGAGGGGUAACGGCCCACCAAGGCGAAGAUAGGUAGCCGGCCUGAGAGGGUGGACGGCCACAAGGGGACUGAGAUACGGCCCUUACUCCUACGGGAGGCAGCAGUGGGGAAUAUUGGACAAUGGGGCAACCCUGAUCCAGCAAUUCUGUGUGCACGAAGACGGUUUUCGGAGUGUAAAGUGCUUUCAGCAGGGAAGAAGGAAGUGACGGUACCUGCAGAAGAAGCGACGGCUAAAUACGUG